UACGUAGGGGGCUAGCGUUGCUCGGAAUUACUGGGCGUAAAGCGCACGUAGGCGGCUUUCUAAGUCGGGGGUGAAAUCCUGGAGCUCAACUCCAGAACUGCCUUCGAUACUGGAAGCUCGAGUCCGGGAGAGGUGAGUGGAACUGCGAGUGUAGAGGUGAAAUUCGUAGAUAUUCGCAAGAACACCAGUGGCGAAGGCGGCUCACUGGCCCGGUACUGACGCUGAGGUGCGAAAGCGUGGGGAGCAAACAGG
rnacentral:rRNA from 1 species